AUUGAACGCUGGCGGCAUGCCUUACACAUGCAAGUCGAACGGCAGCACGGGAGCAAUCCUGGUGGCGAGUGGCGAACGGGUGAGUAAUAUAUCGGAACGUGCCCAGUAGUGGGGGAUAACUGCUCGAAAGAGCAGCUAAUACCGCCUACGACCUGAGGGUGAAAGGGGGGGAUCGCAAGACCUCUCGCUAUUGUGGCGGCCGAUAUCAGAUUAGCUAGUUGGUGGGGUAAAGGCCUACCUAGGCAACGAUCUGUAGUUGGUCUGAGAGGACGACCAGCCACACUGGGACUGAGACACGGCCCAGACUCCUACGGGAGGCAGCAGUGGGGAGUUUUGGACAAUGGGCGCAAGCCUGAUCCAGCAAUGCCGCGUGCAGGAAGAAGGCCUUCGGGUUGUAAACUGCUUUUGUCAGGGAAGAAAUCCUCUAGGUUAAUACCCUUGGGGGGAUGACGGUACCUGAAGAAUAAGCACCGGCUAACUACGUGCCAGCCGCCGCGGUAAUAC
rnacentral:rRNA from 1 species